rnacentral:rRNA from 1 species
UACGGAGGGUGCGAGCGUUGUCCGGAUUUAUUGGGUUUAAAGGGUGCGUAGGUGGCUUUUUAAGUCAGUGGUGAAAUACAGCCGCUCAACGGUUGAGGUGCCAUUGAUACUGAAGAGCUUGAAACAAGUGGAGGCUGCCGGAAUGGAUGGUGUAGCGGUGAAAUGCAUAGAUAUCAUCCAGAACACCGAUUGCGAAGGCAGGUGGCUACGUUUGAUUUGACACUGAGGCACGAAAGCAUGGGGAGCAAACAGGG